rnacentral:rRNA from 1 species
CCUUCCCGGGAGUGGGGGAUACCCUGCCGAAAGGCGGGCUAAUACCGCAUAUGCGGAUAGGGCUUUGGCUUUAUUCGUAAAGCAGGCCUCUGCGCGCAAGCCUGCGCUCCCGGCUGGGUCCGCGGCCCAUCAGCUAGUUGGCGAGGUAAUGGCUCACCAAGGCAACGACGGGUAGCUGGUCUGAGAGGAUGGCCAGCCACACUGGAACUGAGACACGGUCCAG